GUGCUAUAAACAUUUGUGGGACAAUUUGGUUGCUGAUAAAUUCUCCUUCAAAGAGUUUUAUGAUUUCUUUUCCUUGAAUCCAUUCUACAUCUUGUCUGAAGAAAUCAGGGAGAACACUGCCAAAGCAGGUAUCCCUGCAAAGACCCUUGAAGACAUAGUGAGAUACUUCAGAAAUAUGUGUAGUAUGCUCCUCCCUGCCG
rnacentral:misc_RNA from 1 species